GCUGGGUGUUGUGGCGGGCGCCUGUAGUCCCAGCUACUCUGGAGGCUGAGGCAGAGAGAAUGGUGUGAACCCAGGAGGUGGAGCUUGCAGUGAGCUGAGAUUGAGCCAUUACACUCCAGCCUGGGAAGCGACAGAAGCGAACUCGAUCUCAAAAAAAGAAAGAAAAAGAUCACCAUUUCUUUUUUUUUUUUUUUGAGGCGGGGUCACCGGCUCUGUCACCCAGGCUGGAGUGCAGUGGCCGGAUCUCGGCUCACUGCAAGCUCCGCCUCCGGGUUCACGCCAUUCUCCUGCCUCAGC
rnacentral:sRNA from 1 species